UUUCCGGACGCCACGUGCGGACCGGAAGAGACGCGCGGGGCUUCAGGCUGCUGCCCCAUUGGAAGAUUACUCCCCAGGCUUCCCUUGCCCCAAGCAGUGAGCUGACUGGAAUGGUACCCCGGGAGGCCCCUGAGUCUGCUCAGUGCCUGUGCCCUUCCCUCACCAUCCCAAAUGCCAAGGAUGUGCUUCGGAAGAGGCACAAGAGAAGGAGCCGACAGCAUCAGCGGUUCAUGGCCCGCAAGGCGUUGCUGCAGGAGCAGGGGCUGCUGAGCAUGCCUCCAGAACCAGGGUCCUCCCCACUGCCCACCCCUUUCGGGGCAGCGACAGCAACUGAAGCUGCCAGCAGUGGGAAGCAGUGUCCGAGGGCUGGAUCUGGCGGUGCUCCAUGCAGCAGAAGGCCUGCUCCCGGGAAAGCCUCAGGGCCCUUGCCCAGCAAGUGUGUGGCUAUCGACUGUGAGAUGGUGGGCACGGGACCCCGAGGGCGGGUGAGCGAGCUGGCCCGCUGUUCCAUUGUGAGCUACCAUGGCGAUGUCCUCUAUGACAAGUACAUCAGGCCCGAGAUGCCCAUCGUUGACUACCGUACUCGCUGGAGCGGCAUCACUCGGCAGCACAUGUGCAAGGCUAUCCCCUUCCAGGUGGCCCAGAAAGAGGUAAGGGCAGGGUUGGGGACUUGUUUGGGAGGUGUGGUGGGCUGGAAAGAGCCACCCUGGGUUUGAAUCACCACUUUGCUUCACUGGGGGCAAGAAACCUUGGGAAAGUCACCUAACUGCUCCAAACAGUAGGUUCCUUCUCCAUAGAAUAGGGGAAAUAAAAAUAAAAUCCCGACCCUGCCUCCAGAUAAGGAUUGCUGGCCUGUUGCACAGGACAGUGUAGAAAGGCUACGCCAACUGUAAGGUGAUAAACAGCUCACAUUUUAGAGUUUGCUUUCUGUUAUAAAAGUUGUACGCAUUGAUAUAAAAUUUGUAAAGCCCACAGUGGCAUCACAUUCAGGUAUGGAUGUUUUGGCAUAUUUCCUUAUGUUAGUUUCUUAGUGCUUAGAAAAAAUUAGUGGUUGGGACCACACUGAUGCACCAGGAAUUCCCAAACAUGCUUGACCUUAGAAACACCUAAGGCCUUUUCAACAAUCUAGGAUCCUUGUCCCCAGUUCCCUCCAUAGAGUUCCUGAUCCAUUAGGCUUGGGGAGGGCUCUGAUCUGUGUUCCAAAAAAUCAUCACACUGUGCAGACUUGCACCAUAAAG
rnacentral:sRNA from 1 species